AUGCCUGAUAUAGGGUUGACAAAGACUAAUCUAAUAAUCCUUCCUUUUCCACCCACUCUCUGUCCUAACUUUAAAGCCUUUGGGCUGGAUCCUAACUUGAGAUGCACAUGCUUAACUCUGACUUAUCAUGAAUUGAUGUCAAUGGAAGACUCAAGUGAAAAGUUAAGCUUGUGUAUCUCGAGUUAGGAUUUGGCCCUUUAUUUGCAUCUAUUUGUUUUCUUUGGAAAUAGGAUCCAAUUGGACAAAAUGGCUGCCAUUCAUUUGUGUUCGCUUCACACUGACUCAACACUGCCUGGUUGUGUUUGUCACAGACAGGCAAUAGAGUCCCUCAUCAACAGCAGCAUCAGUCAAAACCAGGCAGAGAAAUGAAAAGAGAUUGGGUUUCAGACAGGCGUUUUAGUCAGGCACCUCAGAGAGGGCCUCUCUCCUGACAGUGCCACAUCAAGGCCCCCCAAUGAAACGAGAAUGGAAGAGAGAGGAUCAACUUCUCACAUCACACGAGGUGGAGGUGUCAGCACAAUUUCCCCUGCUGAUCUGUCGACAAGCUUCAAGCUCAUCGAGCUGGUCGCACCCCUCGCUCUAGCUACUGCUGCUGCCUGCAGGUGAGGCCUGUUUCUGGGGUGAUAAUGCUGCUCACUCCUGCAUCGCCACAGAAACCAAGCAGCAGAUGCAGAGAGUCCUAGAGGUCCUCUGGGAUGUGUUAUGACAGAGGCUGUAACGCCAGGAAGACUAUCCACUCUUCACCUGUCCCCUCGCCCCCGAAAGCAGACGUGGCUACUGCCACCACCCUGCCGCGUCUGGGCUCUGACAGGAAGUGUUUGACAGGAGGAACAGCUCGGCUUGCUGUCAAACAAAGAGGGGGUUUGGAAGAGGAGGAGCGGGUGCCACUGAAAUCUCCGCCCUACCCGGCCCAAAAGAUCUUGCCAUUAACUCACUAAAGCUGUUGCUGGAACUGAUAGCGCCAAUCUGUGCAACAGAAAAAGGGAAGCCGUAUGAGAGCUUUGUUGCAACAGGAAUUGACAGGAAUUUGUCUUAAUUCAUGAUCUUAUAAAUUAUUAUUGAGGUGUUGCUCACAACCCGAGGUAGAUCCUACACCCUGCUCCCUGUUUUUGUAAUUUCAUAUUCUCAUACCCCGGCUAUUCAGACAGGGAGAAUAGAAAUGAUAGACAUGUCACCAACUCCCUAAGAAGCUGAUGAGCAAAGGCAUCACACAUUUUGUGAAUAAUAUUUUCUGUUCACUCUCCAAUAUGUCAGUCCAGAGACAAAUAUGGUCUAAAAAUCCUCCUUUGUAAACCAUCAGUCAUCCUUAGUCUUUCACCCUUCCCAAAACUGCAAUUUGAAGAUGCCACUAAAGCAUCACGGCAGUAGUGUGGGACCAAUGUUCAUGUGGAUAGCUCUGUGUUCCCAACUUUCCUCCAACGACAGUCCCCCUGUGAAGGACACUGACCAUUACAUUACUGGAGGCAUGUUCUGAGAGGUGGAACUCUCUCUGGGUCACUGCCUGAAGGCAGGAAAACAUGGACACUUCAACA
rnacentral:lncRNA from 8 species